CACCCGGAGCUUGAUUCGGGCUCCGGCCCGAUCCUCCCA
rnacentral:rRNA from 1 species